rfam:Ixodes scapularis strain Wikel colony gcontig_1108378712134, whole genome shotgun sequence.
GCAAUCAUGGCCGAGUGGUUAAGGCGAUGAACUAGAAAUCCAUUGGGGUCUCCCCCCACAGGUUCGAAUCCUUGCGACUGCG